GGUUAGCUAACGGACUCAUAUAUGAAGUAACUCCCAACAUAAAUUUUUUUUCUGAACCUCUUUCUUCCCACCACUUUCGUAGGCUUUUUAUUCAUUUAUUAGGGUUCAUGAUGGGAUUUUUCCAUUUCAGAAGAACGAGUGGAAAUCCCAUUCCACUUUGUCCUAGCCGAGCAUCUCUACAGGCUCCAAGACAAGGGUUAAUUAGACCAUAAUUGGUCAUUUAAUUUGAGUUGUCGUCCAAUCAUUAAUCAAAGUAAUCACCAUCAGUGUUAAUUGGAUUCAUUCUGACAUUCUUGAUUUCUUGUUUCUAUUUUUUUGUGUGCUUGUUUGACAUUUUACUGCACUGUUAGGAGCUAGGAACACAAGCACUUCACUGCACCUGCUAUAACAUCUGCUAAACUGUUUACACGACCAGUAAACUUUGAUUUGAGAAGCAAUAAUAGUUGCUGGCAGAAUAAUUGGUGACAGCCUUAUCCUUUAUCCAAAUCUAGCGGUUGUGCUACCAAGUUUAAUGAAUUGGUCAAAUAUACUGUUGAGUUCACUCUAAUUGAAGUGUGUUUGGCUAAAUUCUGAAAAUAGAAGAACAGCAGAUGACUUCCAGUGGCUUCAUUUGUCUUCACCAUGGAAAUGUAACAUUUGUGAAAUGAUUCCUUUACAACUCCUACACCACAUUAGAGUACGACCAGUAAUGCAGAGCUAGUCUGGGAACAUGGCUUGAGUCUACCUACAAAAGAACCAUCACGAAAUAAUGAUUAAACGAUUUCAACCUCUUCUAGGUUCAGCAUUAGGUGCUGUCCAGGCCCAGCUCACUGUGAAAGGCAUAAGGUUCCGAAGCUCCUUGGAGUCCCCCUGCUCUACAUCUUGGCACACCCACUUAAUGUCCUGGCUGUGGCUCAUGCUCAGUGUGCUGACAGUGGGGCAGCCAUUGUCUGGCGGGAUGGUGGUGAACGUGGUGAACUUCACACGCUUCC